CAAGUACUCCCUCCGUCCGGAAUUACUUGUCUCGAAAAUGGAUGUAUCUAGAACUAAAAUACAUCUAGAUACAUCUAUUUCUACGACAAGUAAUUCCAAACGGAGGGAGUAUUUU
rnacentral:pre_miRNA from 1 species